rnacentral:rRNA from 1 species
GCGAGCUGGGUUUAGAACGUCGUGAGACAGUUCGGUCCCUAUCCGCUGUGCGCGUAGGAGUCUUGAGAAGGGCUGUCCCUAGUACGAGAGGACCGGGACGGACGAACCUCUGGUGUGCCAGUUGUCCUGCCAAGGGCAUGGCUGGUUGGCUACGUUCGGGAGGGAUAACCGCUGAAAGCAUCUAAGCGGGAAGCCUGCUUCGAGAUGAGGACUCCCACCCACUUGAUGGGGUAAGGCUCCCAGUAGACGACUGGGUUGAUAGGCCGGAUCUGGAAGCCAGGUAACUGGUGGAGGUGACCGGUACUAAUAGGCCGAGGGCUUGUCCUCAGUUG